GACGAACGCUGGCGGCGUGCUUAACACAUGCAAGUCGAACGGAAAGGCCUCUUUCGGGGGGUACUCGAGUGGCGAACGGGUGAGUAACACGUGAGUAACCUGCCCUUGACUUUGGGAUAACUUCAGGAAACUGGGGCUAAUACCGGAUAGGAGCUCCUGCUGCAUGGUGGGGGUUGGAAAGUUUCGGCGGUUGGGGAUGGACUCGCGGCUUAUCAGCUUGUUGGUGGGGUAGUGGCUUACCAAGGCGUUGACGGGUAGCCGGCCUGAGAGGGUGACCGGCCACACUGGGACUGAGAGAAGGCCCAGACGCCGACGGGAGGGAGCAGGGGGGAAGAUUGAACAAUGGGUGGAGGCCUGAUGCAGCAACGCCGUGGGCGGGAGGACGGCCUUCGGGUUGUAAACCGAUUUCGCUCAUGACGAAGCUUUGUGUGACGGUAGUGGGUAAAGAAGCACCGGCUAACUACGUG
rnacentral:rRNA from 1 species